rnacentral:lncRNA from 1 species
ACAACCCAAACCCUCAUUCUAAGAGAUGGGGUCUCACACACAAAACCUCUCUUUUCUUAUCCUCCUUCUCCUAGGCUUCCUUGCUGUCUCAUUCGCUUGCGAAUGUAGCCCUCCUAAACCAUCUCCGAGACCCCACAAACCGCCUAAACAUCCCGUCAAACCGCCUAAACCACCAGCAGCCAAACCACCAAAACCACCGGCAGUAAAACCUCCUAAACCCCCCACCAAACCUCCCACCCUUAAACCACACCCCCACCCUAAACCUCCCACCGUUAGACCACAUCCACACCCUAAGCCCCCUACCAAACCUCAUCCCAUCCCAAAACCGCCCACCGUUAAACCACCACCCUCCACACCCAAACCGCCCACAAAACCACCCACCGUUAAACCACCUCCAUCCACCCCUAAGCCGCCCACCAAACCACCCACCGUCAAACCACCACCCUCCACCCCAAAACCGCCCACCAAGCCACCCACCGUCAAACCACCUCCGUCCACCCCUAAACCACCUACCCACAAGCCACCAACAGUGUGCCCACCGCCAACACCAACACCAACCCCACCUGUUGUAACGCCACCAACACCACCAACACCAACUCCACCAGUCGUUACGCCACCAACACCAGCCCCACCUGUUGUAACGCCACCAACACCAACACCACCGGUCGUAACGCCACCGACACCAACCCCUCCUGUCGUAACACCUCCAACACCACCGGUCGUAACGCCACCGACACCAACUCCUCCUGUCGUAACACCACCAACACCACCGGUCGUAACGCCACCGACACCAACCCCUCCUGUCGUAACACCUCCAACACCACCGGUCGUAACGCCACCGACACCAACCCCUCCUGUCGUAACACCACCAACACCAACUCCACCUAAGCCAGAAACGUGCCCAAUCGACACGUUGAAGCUAGGCGCUUGUGUAGACGUUCUUGGAGGUUUAAUUCACAUCGGGCUUGGUGGAAGUAGCGCCAAGAAAGAGUGUUGUCCGGUUUUGGGAGGCUUAGUUGACUUAGACGCAGCUGUUUGUCUAUGUACCACCAUCAAAGCCAAACUUCUCAUCGUCGACCUUAUUAUCCCCAUUGCUCUUGAGCUUCUUAUCGACUGUGGAAAGACUCCGCCACCUGGCUUCAAAUGUCCCUCUUGAUGAAUGAAGUGUCUCUCUAUCGUGUUUUUCUUUCUUUCUUUCAAGAAUUUGUUAGUUUGAUAAUCUCUUGGGUGAGGUUAAUUUGCGUGUGUGAGACCUUUAAUCACUUGUUUUGUUGUACAAUAAAAGGCUAUGUUUGGGUUUUGUUGAUGUAAUUCUAAGAAGAAGAAAUAAAAAAUGUAAAACGGUAUAAUUAUCUUUCAACAAAAACAAGUUAAUAUUUCAUAUCUGUGUACGCUUAUUUUGUUUUUUUAUGUACAUAUAUACGUACGUAGUCACUUGUGGAGUAGCAGAAAUGUGGAUUUUAUAGCCAUGCAAAUUGCACUGACGCACAUGUGAUAUGCGCCCCCAUAGCGUGGCUACUGUGUACUGACCAAAUACAUGUGUAUAAAUAUAGUUACAUACAAGUAUAUAUAUGCUAACAAAUAUAUCAUACUUUCUCCAAAAAUUGAUAGCUAAGAUAGCUCUUAACAAAUUAUGUCUCAGUCACACAGAUGAUUACGACAUUUGAUUUGUGGAUUAAGAAUUCGAAGAAAGUAACUUUUUUAAAUUGUAGAGCUUGCUUAUUCUUCCGCGUCUAAUAUACUCAGAGAUAGUGAAAUAAAAAUCAUACAUAAUAAAGUCAAUAUAUUGCAAAUGUACAGUUGAUAAAUCUCAUAUAAUACAGAAAAUAACAGUAUAUAUCUAAUUGAAGAAUCAUUGCAAGAGAAAAAGUUGGAUAUCAUUAAUAAUUAUAGAACAUAUGGAAUCUCAUCCAAAGAAACAGACGAUAUCAAAGAACAAUAUAUUGCAAAUUAUUUUGGAAUUGAUUCUGGAAUGAAAGAAACAAGUUCUUAAAUAUGUUGGCGAAUAAGGUUUCAGUAUCUUUAACCGUAGGACCGCGAAAAUCCUGAUUGAAAAUCACGAAACAUAAGUCGAUAUUAACGGUAAGAUAAAGAUAGAAAACAUUUAAGAAAUCUUUUAGGAAAUAGACGAAUUCACAGAGUCGAGAUCUGAUAUCUUUCUUUAACUCAAUAAAUCGUCCGUAUUGUAUGACAGUUUGAAUGCGAUCUAUGAUCCGUCUAUGACGGUUCCCAAAUCCAACUCGCGGAUCAUCUCCUCUAGAUCCGUCCCGAUUAUAUGUUUGCUAGUUGACAUAGUUCAUGUUAAUGAACUGAAAAUCUGAAUGGGGUAGCAAUUUUUAGCCUAGGAAAUGAAGGAAUAUGAAUAAACCAUGGUUGUUCUAGUCAGCUAGCUAUAAUAAAAUAGUAUAUCUAAGCUAACUAUAAUAAAAAGGAAUAUAGUUAAUCUUAUUAGCCUAUAUUAUGGCUAGUCCAAUUAAAAACAAUUUGACUAUGAUUUUUAGUUUUACAUGAUCGAAAAUUAAACCGUUUAAUUCAAACCAUAGAAACUAGAUGUUGAUUGUUUAUAGUUUUUAAAAUGGUUUUUGGAUUUUUUUUUGAAAAACUACUUUAUUUGCCAAUCAAGAUUUUGCUAAAAAUGAUUUUCUAAAAUCUAGAGAAACUAGUUUUUCAAAUAACUACCUAAUUCUACACAAAAACCAAAAUCAGUGUUUUUUAAGAUUUCUGGCAGUUUCCUACGGAUGAUUUUUUUUAUCAUGCAUUUUUAUUUAUUAUUUUCUUUUAAUGGUUUUUUUCAUUUUUUUUUUGUAACUGGUCUUUCUUUUCAUAUUUGCCUCAUUCUCACUCUCAUAAGGUUUUCACCAUCACAUCGUCAAUACAUUUGCCUCAUUUCAUCUCGCCACUCAAAAAUAUUUGAUCAUACUUGUAAAUUAGAAGAAGUUCUCUUACUGCUAAACUAAAAGAAGUUCAAAAAUAUUUCAAAAGGAAAUUUUAUUUUAAAAGUCACUAUUUUAAUUAAUUGCUAUAGUAAUUAUUUAUACAAAAAUAAUCAUAGAAAUAUAUGUGUAAAAAUUAUUUUAGAAAAAAUAUCAAAGGUAUGAUAUUAAUAUUUUUUAUAAUGCUUAAUUACUUGUAUAAUAGCAUUUGAGAUCAAAUAUAAAAGGCAUUCAAGAUAAAAAAUAUAUAUAUAUAUAUAUAUAUAUUUAUAUGGAAUUUACGAUAGUUUUAUUUUGUAAUUAUAUUUUUUUUAAAAUAAUUUUUGUAAAUAAAUUUAUGUGUAUUUUAAUGACAGUGUUUUAUAUUUUAUUAUUUUCAGAAUAAAUAUUAUCUAUUCAUAAUAUUUUUUAUUUUAUUAAUUUUAAAAAUAAAAAUCAAAACCAAAAAUUAAAAACCAAAAUCUAAAACAACCAUUCAUGUUUUUCAAAAAAACCAAAAUUUACUGCAAAAUCAAAAACCAAAAAUCAAAAAAAAAAAUCAAAAACCAAAAUCUAAAAACUAAAAACCAAAAUCCAAAAACUAGAAUCUAAAAAUUAGAAAAACAAUCAUCACCUAAAUUAAGGGAUCAGAAGUUAGUGUUUUUUUAAUUACUUUUAAAGAAGUUAAGGGACCGGAAAUUAAGGUUUUACUAUUUUUAGAUAUGUUGCUGCUAUAUAGUACAAACCUUCCUCUGCAAAAUCUUGCAGAUUUCUUUGAUUCUAUAAUAAUUAGAUGUGCUGAAUAUGAUUCAUUAACAUUUUUUAUAUAGUACUAGUGGUUUGCAAGUGCUUUGCAUUUCCUUUUUUUAAUUGUUUGAAUAUUUGUUUAUAUAUCAAUGUGAUCUAUUUUAAUUUUUUUGUGGUACAUUUGUUCUCACAUUGUUUCAUUUUAGUUAUUGUAAUUCAUUAGCAUUGUAUUUAUUUUAUUAACGGAAGCACAACCUCAUCGUCUUGUUUGAUUGACCAUUUUUCUCAACAAGGAAGUUGAAAUGAGAAUAAUGUGUAUUUUCAAGUAUUUUAAAUUUUAUUUAUACUCUCUUUAAUUCUUCUUUAUGUAAUUUUAUAUUGAAUUGUAUUUUUUUUAGAAGUAUUUUACAUUUGAUUUAUACUCUCUUUCAUUCUUCUUUAUGUGAAAAUGAAAAUUUUGGAAUGAAAAUGAAAAUUUUGAAUGAUGGAUUGCUAAUUGUGUUUAAUAAGAAGUCAUAAGAAGUCGAAUUGUAAUUACAAUUUGUUUCUUAUUUUUCAAAGUUGUAAGAUAACAUCAUUUCAAUGAAGAGAUGUUUACGUUCUUGUUGAUACAAACUUGAAUCUUGUAAAUUUCCUAGUGAGAUUAAUUUAGUGAACUGUAAUUAUCUAUUGCUCUUUCUUUAAAGUCACUCUUUUGUAGUUUUCACUCUUUUGAUUUAACAGUUGAGCCCGAGGAGAGUCAUUGCCGUUACUGUAAAACUCUUCACGGCAAGAAGAAUAAUGCUUCGUAUUCAAGUAAUGAAUUGAAACAUAAAUAAGAAUAAAACAAACUUUAUGCUUUCAACAACUAUGCAUAUGCGAAAAGAUCUCUCUCUCGGCUUUGCAGAUUCCUACUGAAAAACACACUUCCAGGAUUACUCAAAUCACACAUUGCAAAAUCUCAAUUCAAAGUACCUUCAGAUAAAAUUCUAGUUUCAUCGCCAUUGUUAAUUAAACAUCAAACUAAACAUGAGAGAUUAAAAACAGAGAACUAACAAGAUAGAUGGGAGGAGAUAUAAUAAUAGCACCAAGCAGAGAUGAGACAACUCGGACAUAGUUUUGUGCUCAGGAAGAUUCAGCAGCAGGUUGAGUCACACCAUGCUUGAGCAACAGCUUGGUAAGCGAGUCAGGAGAGUGAACAUGGUACUUAACACUCCCCGACGGAGUCAAAAACACCUCAGCAAGCUCAAGCUUCUCAGAUGUCAAGCUCGUGCUGUCCAUAGUCUUGCUCAGAACCUUCAAGGCGAGCUCGACCGCCUCUUCUCUAGUUGCAUCCUCCUUGUAGUCUUGUUUCAGAAUAGACUGAGCCGCCUGGUUGUUCGCUCCCACAGCUGCAGCUUUCCACCCACCGUAGUUCCCACUCGGAUCACUCAUAUACAGCUGAAACCCAUGGUUCUUAUCCCACCCGGCAAAGAGAAAGGACACUCCAAAGGGACGAAGACCACCGAACUGGGUGUACCCUUGCUUGGUGUCGCAGAGAGACUGAACCAGCUGCUCAACAGGCAUAGGCUCCUGGUACAUGAAGGUGUAGCGCUGGGCUUGGACACGAGCCGUGUUGAUGAGGAUGUUUGCGUCGGACAUGAUGCCGGCGACGGCGCAGGCCACGUGGUCGUCGAUCUUGUACAUCUUCUCGGAGGAGGUGGAGGUUUGGAGAAGCUUGGAGGUGACUUUCUUCUCGCCGAUCAGAACGACGCCGUCUUUGGAUAAGAUACCGAUGGCGGAGCCGGCGUUGCCGAUGGCUUCCAUUGCGUACUCGACUUGGUAGAGACGCCCUUCUGGGGAGAAGAUUGUCGUGCGGCUAUCGUAUCUUCGAGACAUGUUUUUGACUUUUGAGAGAGAGCUUCGCCAAAUACAAGAAAAGGUUUAUUACAUUGAGAUCGAGAAAACGAAAUCAAAUCAAGAUUGUGAAAAUUUCACUAUUGGGUGGGUCUCUAAGAGAAGAGAAGCCAAGACGCCUAUGUAAGAUAAUUACAUCAACCAGAUUCGCAACCUAGCUCUAGGACUUAUCUAAUUCUAUAGAAAUUCGUACAAAACUACUACGAGAAACUAAUCGAGAAAAUAAAAACGGAAUGGAAUGGAUACAGUUUACCUGAAAGGACUUUGAUUUUGAUCUCUUUUUCGCUGAGAAUUUGCUCGAGACCAAAGAUGUGUGUGAACUUGUUGAGAGAAGACAGAAGAGAGAAGGAACCUAAAAACACUUUCUGUAUCGGGCCUUUAUUUUUUUCAAAACAUGCACCUAUGGGAUAUAGUGAAAGCCCAAAUUAUAAAACUAAGCCCAGUAUAAGAUCAAAUCAACUACCAACCGUUUCUGUUCUUGACAUCAUUUUUAUUCUUUUCUUUUUAUAUAACUCAACUUUCAUAUAUCGAGAGAACUUUAAAUAAUUUAGUACAUUAAAAAAAUUAAAACUAUUUAGGGAACGCAUGGUUUAGAGAUAAAUCUAUCUAUCUAUCUAUACUAAUAAAGGAAACUUUUCUUCUUUAUCAUGCUGUCACGUCAGUAUUUUUAUAGGGGCAAUUUGUGACACAUGUCCUUUCUUUUUUACGUGAACAGCGUGAGUUUUUUCUAAACUUUUUGGCCUACUGAUUUUUCUUUUGUUUUGUGGGCUCUUACUAGCUGGCCCAUUUUCUUUAGGGUUUCUAGCUCCUGCGAUCAGGAUUCGGCUCCUCCUCUGGCUCUUCGUCUCUUAGAAACUCAGAGGAGAGCCCUUGUAAGUUCUAACGUCGUCCGUUUCUUCCUUUAGUCUCAUCAUUUAUUGAUUACCCACUCAUCCCACUUUCUCUGAAUUAAACAUUAUCAUUAUCAUCCCGCCUGAGACUCUUCUUCACUAUAAAACGGUCCUAAUAUGCUUUUCUUGGAUGAGAGCGAGCUCUGUCUUCGUUUUUAUAGAUUCUUACAUAGAUUACGAGUCCUCUCUUGGAAUUCGAUUACGUUUUCUCCCCACGAAGACUAUGUCUUUGGCUUUAUUUCUAUCUAAGUCAUAUGGAGUUUGCAUCUCCGACGAGGUAACGCUUUUACUUUUCCGCCAUAGACCACCAUAUGUGCACCUUCGACGAGGUUACAAUUAUAUUUCAGUUAGCAGCUCACUAUUUGCUCAGCCAUUCAUCUUCUCUGCCUUUGUACAUUUGAAACUGAAAAGUGGAUAGAUUUUAAUUAUUUUAUUAGAUUCAAUAAAUUUAUAUUUGCGCUUUAUAUCAUACCUUUUAUGAUUAUUUGAAAACAAAUCAGCCGCACAGUUUUUUAAGUUGUUUUUACAAAUAUUUUUGCGAUUUUUAAUUUUAUUUAGUUAUUAAUUUUUUGUUGUGAUUUUCAAGGAAUUUCUUAUUGGUUUUCUUAAUUUGAGUUUUAUGACCAUUAAAUGGAGAAAAAUCCAUGAGAUACAUCACUUAAUAAAUGGAUUCCUCUACUUUUUUGUAUGUAUGAAACCUUUUAUUUUUUUCUAAAAAUUUAUUUAUUUUAAUUUAUAUUAUGUAUUUUACUAAUUUUAUUGUUUUAUGUUUUUAUAUUGUAUAUUUAUUUUCCUAACUGAUCGUCUAAAAUCUUUGUUUUGAUAAUGUAUAAUCAUUGAUUGUGGUUCCAUUGUUUUAUUUCUUAUUAACUUAUCAUAGCUUUAGCUUUUGAUUUAGAGGUUGUCUUUGUACAUUUGAAACUGAAAAGUGGAUAGAUUUUAAUUAUUUUAUUAGAUUCAAUAAAUUUAUAUUUGCGCUUUAUAUCAUACCUUUUAUGAUUAUUUGAAAACAAAUCAGCCGCACAGUUUUUUAAGUUGUUUUUACAAAUAUUUUUGCGAUUUUUAAUUUUAUUUAGUUAUUAAUUUUUUGUUGUGAUUUUCAAGGAAUUUAGUGAAAGCCCAAAUUAUAAAACUAAGCCCAAUAUAAGAUCAAAUCAACUACCAACCGUUUCUGUUCUUCACAUCAUUUUUAUUCUUUUCUUUUUAUAUAACUCAACUUUCAUAUAUCGAGAGAGCUUUAAAUAAUUUAGUACAUUAAAAAAUUAAAACUAUUUAGGGAACACAUGGUUUAGAGAUAAAUCUAUCUAUCUAUCUAUACUAAUAAAGAAAACUUUUCUUGCCACGUCAGUAUUUUCAUAUGGGCAAUUUGUGACACAUGUCCUUUCUUUUUUACGUGAACAGCGUGAGUUUUUUCUAAACUUUUUGGCCUACUGAUUUUUCUUUUGUUUUGUGGGCUCUUAGAGCAUCAUUAUCUUAGAGACCCAUUUCUUAUUUUUUUUUAGUACUUUUUUAUUGUAAAAGUGAAUUAAGAGACUGGAAGAAGAGACUCUAAAAUUUAAGUGCUCCAUUGCAAGUCUCUUAUUUAAAGGUUCUUAAAAAAAAGUUUUUGUUAAUUAAACACCAAAUUUUUGAUUUUUCUUAUUAAACUUAAACUUUUUCUUAAGUAAUACUAAGUUUCAUUUAUACAAGUUUCUAAGACAUGUGAAUACUAGUACUUACAAAAACAUACAAGUUUCUAAAGGAACAUAAAAGAACGUACCAAGUGGAGAAGACAAGCUCGAAGUCUCCUCACACAAGCAGCCCGCGACCACACUGCUCAGGUACCUUCCCCCCAAAAAUAAGGCAACUGAACUCCAAUGGCUCAAUUAGUGUCUCUUAUGCUUUCAAUGAUCCUGAUUGUGCGCUUGGUGGGAGACGUCUUGCUCAGCGGGUUAGGUAUGUUGCAGCUUUAACAGACUAAUGAGUUGUAUUAACAAGUGAAAAAGAAAGCAAAUGUUUGUUCAUUGUGAGAGUAGAUAACAUACCAAUAUUGGAAAGCAAAUGUUUGUUCAGGAGCAAUUCCCCUAUAAAAGAGAGAGCGGGACACAUCAUACAGCCAUUAUUGGAAAGGAAGCUAAGGGAAAAGAGUAUAAAUUGCAAUGCACAGAACACACAAGACCUUAAACCAAUGCAUAGUGAACAAAAAUGCAUACGCUGAGGCUUAUACCAACUCAAUUCACACAAUUCUAAUCACUUCAACAAUUCUCUCGAACUUAACUUUAUCUCAUUUUGACUCCCAUUUGAUGCAAAUACCAAUGCACAGAGAACAUACAUGACCUUGAAGCAAUGCUAUUGAACAAGUAGAAAAAGCAAGCAACCAAGAAAGGUUCAAAAAACCAUAUUCACCUCAGCUAUUUAAACAGUACCAGCUUGCUCAAAGAGCAUAGCCAAGGCUAACCGAGAUCAUCUUCUUCGUCGAGAGAUGCUUUUUCAUCGUCGUUCAAAUCAACCACCUCUAGAGCUCCAUUGUCAUUCUCUAAAGCCUCCAGCCUAGCUAUAGCAGCCUAGAAUCAACCAAACACAAAUGAAGUCUCAUUGCCAAGGAAAAAAAAAAAUCAAAAAGUGAUUUCGAAAAUCAGACAACACACCUGGGUUCGAUUGUCGGUGCUUGUAAGAGCUGCCGCCAUCUUCGUAGCAACCUUACGGGUACGGCUCGAGACUCUACGGUUCGCCAUGUCUCCAUACCACUUAGGACGAUUCAGUGUACCGGCGACGGUGGACCGAUGCGCUCACGUCUCCGCUUUCGUCCCCGUCUUGCUGAGCCCAAUCCAAAGUCUGGGCGACCGAGGAGACUUGGAUUCGAAACCUACGGAUUUCACAAGUCGGGAGAGAGAUAGAGAUGAGAGUGGGAAGAAGUUCUGGAGAAGGUGAAAAGGGAGGAAGAGGAAUCACAAGAGACGUCUCUUCUCGUCCCUGAUUAAGAGACGUCUUUAGGUUUAUUGAUAUUUUUCAUUUUUUUUUAAUCCUGAUAAAUGUAAGAGACCCUCUUAAAAGACCGGGAUAAUGGUGCUCUUACUACCUGGCCCAUCUUCUUUAGGGUUUCUAGCUCCUGCGAUCAGGAUUCGGCUCCUCCUCCUGGCUCUUCGUCUCUUAGAAACUCAGAGGAGAGCCUCUGUAAGCUCUAACGUCGUCUGUUUCUUCCUUUAGUCUCAUCAUUUAUUUAUUACCCACUCAUCCCACUUUUUCUGAAUUAAACAUCAUCAUUAUCAUCCCGCCUGAGACUCUUCUUCACUAUAAAACGGUCCCUUCUCUGCGAUGAAUAGUCAUAGUUAUACGGGAUCCCUAAUAUGCUUUUCUUGGAUGAGAGCGAGCUCUGUCUUCGUUGUUAUAGAUUCUUACAUAGAUUACGAGUCCUCUCUUGGAAUUCGAUUAUGUUUUCUCCCCACGAAGACUAUGUCUUUGGCUUUAUUUCUAUCUAAGUCAUAUGGAGUUUGCAUCUCCAACGAGGUAACGCUUUUACUUUUCCGCCAUAGACCACCAGGUUACAAUUAUAUUUCAGUUAGCAGCUCACUAUUUGCUCAGCCAUUCAUCUUCUCUGCCUUCAUUAUAAAUUUUAUUCAGUAUAUAUAUUCAUCCGUAGGGCGUCUUAGCCACAGCUCAUCAUUUUGCAGUCUACCUUUCUAACCAUUAAAUCAUUAGUUCUAGAUUUUUUUUUUGCAAUUCAGAGUCCUAGAUUUUCAUGUCCUGCAAAUUCCAAUUGUUUAUUAUACUCCUGUGAAAAAUGAGACUGUUGAUUGUUUUGAACAAAAGCUUCGCAAAUAAAGUUUCAAUCUUUAUCCUUUUUCUCUCCUUAGUACUAUCGAUAUGGCUUUUUCUCCAAAUUAGUAAAAUGAUGCUAAAUGGUCACGGUAGCGGUUGAUGCAUCUUUUUUUUUGUUUUAUUAAGGCUUUGUUUAAUUAGACUUCAUGAUGAUUUGUGUUUGGACUUGAGGAAAGAAUCAUUCACAUGUGCGUGACUGCCCAAAGUUAUGUUAUGUAUCUAAGCAUACAUAUAAUAUUUUUCCCUCAAAGCUUGGUUUGUUUCCGUCACAUCAUAAUCUUCCUGUCCCAUUUCUUCGUUGAACAACUCUUCUAUCUAAGUCAUAUGGAUCUCGCGUCUCUAUCUACUUUGAGAGUCAUAGAUUGAUAUAUAUAUUAUAUUAACUUUGUAUUCCAUCCUCUUGAAUGAAGUUACCUUAUACAGUGAUACUUGUCUUCUCUUCAUUUUUGGUCUCAGUUUCUUUUUCCGUGAAUCAACUUGAUAUAAAUUUUUCCUUUACACAUGUAGAUUGGUUUUCUGACUGGUGCUUGAAGAUAUAGCUCUGGUGUAUUGAAUUCUCUUUAUGCAAGAUUUACUCUCUUAAAAGGAUAGCAGGUAAUUAAUUAUUUAGGUUUCAAGUAUUCUUAGUUGUUAAAUCUUUUAACUGUUUUUUGUGUUGUAGCUUUAAAGGCGUUUUCGUUGCAUUUUUAAGAUGAAAGAUUUUUCAAUUUUCAGACAAAGGUCAUGCGGUUGGAAACUCGGUAGAGAGUUGCAAAGAUGAGUCUAAGUCUCAAAACUGUUUUGAGUAGAAGUGAGAAGAUGCAGAGCCAAGGUCCCGGAAAAUAGGAAGAAGAUAACAAUGUCUUAAAUCUUUUAACUGUUUUUUGUGUUGUAGCUUUAAAGGCGUUUUCGUUGCAUUUUUAAGAUGAAAGAUUUUUCAAUUUUCAGACAAAAGUCAUGCGGUUGGAAACUCGGUAGAGCCAAGGUCCCGGAAAAUAGGAAGAAGAUAACAAUGUCUGUGAGCUGUUCUAUGAUACAAGAACCAGUGAGGACUUGGCAAAAUAAAAUGAUGGAAACCAUUCUUGUGGAGUUCUGAUUGAGACUGGAAAGAAGCUACGAUUUUAUAACAUCAAUGCUAAUAGCUGUUCUCCGGAGAUAGUUUUGUGUCGUUUUAUAUGGACAAGCAUGUUAUAAGGAGAACACUUAUCAUGUUGUGAAAGGACAUGUGUCGAUGAAGAUGUGACAAUUCAGGAGAAGUUCAAUAUUCGUUGAGAAAGAUUCUGUGUAUUAUGCCUUUUUUGGGAUUUGUAAUAUAAAGCAAACAUAUUCUUUGAUUAUUUUAUUUCAUUUAAUUAUGUAAUCUGUAUAUGUUUAACAAAGUUUUUGAUGUUACUAUGUAAUAAAAACUGAGAAGGGAACGUUUGAUGAGAUAUGAGUUAUAGGCUUUCAUUCAAUACAAAUCCAACACAAAUGUUGCAUGAUAGAUUCACUAUCGAUUAAAAGAAAUGCAAAUUUCAGUGAACAUGUAUAUCGGUUUGGUUCAUCUUGAUUUCUAGAUUAUUAGUGGUUACAUCUUAUAUAUUAAAACAGAAGUCACAACCUUGAUUCAUGUGUGAUUUUUUUAAAAAAUGGACCUAAUGAACCUAUUCAUAGAAAUUCAUACUAUAUUUUAAUUCAGACUAAUAAUAAAUAUAAUUUUUAAAAUAUUUUAAUCAUAGUAUCCUUUGAUAUCUUUUCAUUUUAAAUAAAAAUAUAUUUAAUUUAAAAUUCUAACAAAUCUGUUUAAAAAGAUUUCUACUAGAUCUUCAUUUUUGAAAUUAUAUUUAAAUAUUUUCACUAAUUUCGAAAUUAGUUUAAAAUAUUAUUAUACAUUAAUAUAUUCAGUUAUAUAAAAUGAAAAAUAAAAAAAUCUAUAAUAUUUUAGUUAUUAUAUAAUCAUAAUCAAUCAUAUUAUAUUAAAAUUAUUAUAUUGAGCUAAAUAUAAUAAAAUUGUAUUAAAUUAUUAAAUUUAUAUAUUUAUAUAUUUUAUUUUCGUAAUUAUAAAAUAUUUAUGUUCAAAAAUAAAAUCUAAUAUGUUGGUAAGAUGGGUUAACAUUAUCAAACUAUAUAAUACAUGUAUAAAAAUUAACAUGUAUUUCUUUAAAGUUAAUAAUAUAAAAUCUUUGUAACUACUUUAAUCAUAAUAUAUUUUCAUUUUAAAUAUAAUAUAUAUUUAUAUAUUAUAUUUUAAAAAUUCUAAUAAAUCUGUGUAAUAUUUAAACAAUAACUUAAUGUAUUUUAAGUUAUCGUUUAGAAAUGAAAAUAAAUAAAUUAUAUCCUAUUUUAUCUACUUUUAUAGUCAUGAUCAUGUUAAAAUAUAAUUAUUAUACUAAAUAAAUAUGAUAAAAUUAUAUUCAAUUGAUAAAUUUAUAAAUUUUAUUUUCAUAAAUAUAAACUAUUUAUUUAAAAUAUAAUAUGAUGAUAGAACGACUUAAAAUUAACAAACUAUAUAAUACAUGUCUAAAAAUUAACAUAUCUUAUACUUUUAUAUAUACAAUAAUAAAUUAUCUAAAAUGAAUAAGCAUAAAAAUAUUGAUAAAAAGAAAUCCAGUUUUGAAAUACGGGUCAGAAUUUAGCAUAAAAUAAAUACAAAAUAUUUUUUAAAUAUAUUUUCUCAUGAAUAUAUUAAUUUGCUUAAUAACUAAAUGCAAAUACAAUAAGAUAAAUAUAUAAUAAGAAGUGGCAAAUACAUAAGGUUUAAACAAUUAAUUAAUUAUAACAUGUAAAUUAUAAAAUUAUUGUAUUUGAAAUAGUUAUAUAAAUAUUUAAGUAUAUGAUUAACAUUAAAAAUAUAUACCACUUAUGUUCUAAAACAAUAAUUUAUGUAUAGAAAAGUGAAAACAAACACCCGUGCGGUUGCACGGGUCAAAAAUCUAGUUAUAUUUAAGUUUCUUUCGUUUAGUUGCGUUACCGUUUGGCUCAUAUUAAUUUUUUGAUUAAAUUAUUUGAUAUAAAGUGAUAUGUAACUAAACUAAGAAAAAAACUUCCAACAAAUAAUUUGUUACUAUUAAACAGUUUGACUCCCACAAGAAAGCUUUCUUGACAGAUUACUGAAGUCCACUAAAGAUGAGAUUUUACAUCUAAGUUUUAAACUUUUUUUUUAAUUUUCUAAGUAGCAAGAAGUUCUACAUAUGUAAUGAUUAGUAGAGAUUGGUUUAUCACAAUGCAUGUGGAUUUUGUUGCCCAUCAAAUGGAUUGUAACUCCUACCUUAUUAUUUUAAUAUUUCACAUGCUACAUUGGACAUGCAGCUUUCAACAUCUUGAACCAAACUCUUUAACAGAAAAUUAAGGAACAAUACAACUCGCAUUCAACAUCUUGAAUCACACUUGUUCACAGAAAAUUAAAGUAACAGUACAACUCUACUAAAUUUAAAGGUACACAUCUUCACCAAGAUUUUCUUAAAAUUGAACAUACACUCACAUGUGAGUAAACCCUAGAUUCAUUUAUGUUCUUAUUUCCUCUAUAUAUACACAAGAGUUGUAACAAAUCUAAACACAUUCUAUUAUUUAUUUCUCUACUACAAUAUGGAAACAUUUAGUGUUGAGGACAAGAGGCAAUGUUGGGAGAAGUUGCAGCACUUUAAUAAUAGAAAACCAAAAUUAUGGAGAGAAGACAAGAAUGAAAAUUUGGUGGCUAACAUAAAGAAAGGCCAUGGAGAUGUGACUCUGGUAUACACCGGAGAUAAUCCUGAUGUAACAUUCACUCUAGGAAAUUGCAAAAUGUUGUCCGGAGCUACAUUUUGUGAGAGAGAACAAACAAAAUUUGAGCAAAAUGAAAAAAUUAUUCUUCUAUGAAAAGACUCUUUAUAAUUCUACUGAUACAAAAUCAAGUGUUUCUUCUUCGAAAAACAGGGACGGACCAAGAAAAAAAGGUAACUAAUGUUGUUGGGCAAGAGACUCAUGUUUGUUGGCCAAGAACUUUGCCUAUCCUCGUUUGAAAAAAUCUUAUAUGUAGUAUUGUAUUAAUUAAAUUUGCCUUUUGUAGUAGAUAUUGUAUUGUAUUAAAUUUGCUUAUGUUAGUGGAGAUUGUAUAAAUUUCGUAAAGUUUGCUGGCUGCUUGCAAUUCUAGUAACUUUAAAAGUAUUGUAUAAAGUUGUAAUAUUUUAGUAAGUUUGCUAUAAUUCUACAUUCAAUCUAACUAAGUUCAUAGUAUUGUACACUCAACCAAACUCAAAGCACAAAACUUUAUCCCUCGAGGUUCUAGUAUUUUAGUGAUUAAGAAAUACAUCUUGGAUUUAGAAAUUUUUGAUAAAUUCAUUUAUUUUAAAAUCAAACAAGUAAAUUUCAGAAUCAAAGAUACAUAUUUCAAAAUCAAAAUAAGUUGAUUAUUAUAAAUCGGUCAAAUGGAUAUACAAUAAGUUCAAAUUUGUAACAAAAUAAAAAUAUAAAAAAAUGCAAAAUGUACUUUUUAUUAUGCUUUUAGUUUGGAUUUUGAAGUGUUUGCACUUAUGUAAUUUUUCUUAAUAUGUAAUAGAGAUUAUAUAAAAAUUAUGAUGGACACAUAUGAAAGUGGAAAAUACUAGUUAGGAAAUGGUACAAUGUAUAUAAAUUAUUCAAAAUCUUCAUUAUGUUUGUGUAGUGUUUAAAUUUUUUGGAGCUCCCACGUGUUUGAUUGAGAGUAGCUAUGAUUCUUCUCUCCACUUUGAAUUUUCUGAAUGGGCCAUUGCUAUCACACACAGCUGCAACAACACAAUCUAAGAGUAGAUUUAUCAAAGUUUUAUUUUCUUGAGGACUCCAUUGAACACAUGAACUUUUUACGUGUUCUUGUGGUUUUUGUUGUGAUUCUUCCAUGCUUUUAGUUUGGAGUUGUACGUGUUUGUACUUGUGUAUUUUUUUCUUAAUAUGUAAUAGAGAUCCUCCUAUACAUUAAAAGAGAAGUCACUUUAGUGAUUUUUGCUGACAUGACAUUAAUAUAGAAUUUCUCAGAAAAAUUGUUAUAAUUCUAUUGGUCGAUUUUUUUGAAUUUUAUUUUUCAUUUAUUUUAAUAAAUCAUUUAUGUAGACAAGCCCAAAACUAUUGUCGAUUUCGUUAAGCCCAUAUAUAGCUAGGGGAUAAUAAUUAUCUAUUUAGUUUAGCCUUGGGCAAGAUUAAGAACUAAUACAAAUAUUAAAAACUUUCCUUAUUAUUCAAACAGUAAACUUGCGCAUGUUGAUAUCAUAUUAAUUACAUUUGGUUAGAAAAUAUUUUAAUAUUUCUAAUUAGUAGGGGUGAGCGUUCGGGUACCCGUUCGGGUUCGGAUCGGGUAUUUUGAAUUUUCGAGUAUUUUGGUAUAGAUGUGUAGAACCCGUUCGGGUAUUUCUGUACUACGGGUCGGGUUCGGGUAUUUUUAGUUCGGAUUCGUUUAUUACAGAUCGGGUUCGGAUAUUUAGAUUUCGAAAAAAAAAAAUUAAAAUUUUCAUUUCUCAAGUUUCUUAUAUUUAAAAAUAUAACUUUCAGUUAACUAAUUUUUUUAUUUUUAAUAGAUUGAAUGGUUAAUAGAUUUGGACAUAAAAAUUUAAAACUAAAAAGGCAAUAAUUUAGUUAUUUUUUAAAAAAAAUUGGAUAUAACUUUUUGUUAAUUUUUUAAAUAAAAAACUUGACAUGCAUUUUCGGAUCGGAUUCGGGUGCCACUUCGGAUAUCGGGUAAAGUGCCCACUCCUACUAAUUAGGUUGUUUGUUUUUAAUAACUUACCUUUCUAAUAUGGAUUACUUGCGCAAGUUAAAAUCAUUAAAUAUGCAAAUCACUUAUUCACAAUAUGGAUUACUUGCGCAAGUUGAAAUCAUUAAAUAUUAUCGAUUUAGUUUACUUUUGGGCAAGAUUUAGAAUUAAGACAAAUAUUAAAAACUUUCCUUAUUAUUCAAACGGUAAACUUGCGCAUGUUGAUAUCAUAUUUAUUACAUUGCUUAUAAAAUAUUUUAAUGUUUCUAAUUAGGUUGUUUGUUUUUAAUAACUUACCUUUCUAAUAUGUAUUACUUGCGCAAGUUAAAAUCAUAUCAUAUGCAAAUCAUUUUUUGACAAUACACAUUUAAUAUCUUUCUUUAAACGAUUUCAUUAUUUAUUUUGCAAAAUAUUGUGCGUCAUUAAUAUGAGAAAUAAAUCGACUGUAUAUAUAUAGGAGACACCCAAGAUCUUAAAAUACAAACAUUCUCUUUUCAUUCUUUAAAGUAUUAUUCACAAAUCUUCCUCUCAUACUAUUAAGGUAUUACGAUGAUGCUGCUUGUGUGCUAAGAAAAAUGUGUUUAGACGCAAAGGCUCCUCAUCUUUCAUCGACUCUGCCACCUACUUUGCCUUGGAAGUUCAAUAAACAUGUACAGCCUAAUAAAGGACUAACCCGCCAAGGCAAUGGGAACUCAGAAGAGCUACGUUGUGUCAUUGCUGUUAUUCGAUAGUAUGUUUUCUUAGCAUAUAAAUCACCUUUAUCUCCUCUAUACUUCUAUCUGUUAAAAUUUUGUUAUUACAUGAUAGUGGCGAUCGAACUCCAAAACAGAAGGUGAAACUAAAUGUUACAGAGGAGAAACUGUUAAACCUGAUGCUGAAGUACAAUGGUGGAAAGCCAAGAGCUGAGGUGCGAGAGGCUCCAGCUUUUCUGUCAUCCAUCUUUUAUCAGAGCCUUGAUUCAUUUUAUAUUUUUUUUUUCUUUUUGUAGACAAAACUAAAAAGUGCAGUCCAGUUGCAAGACCUAUUAGAUGCAACAAGAAUGUUAGUUCCCCGUACAAGGUAGAACCAUGAACUCAACUCUUUGUGUCUUGUCUCCAAAAAGCAUGUCUGAUCUAUCUCUUCCAUGUGUUGAAUACUGGUAACGACAAUAUGGUCUUCCUUUUUUUAUAUGUAGACUAGGUCGUGAGAGUGAUAGUGAUCCAGAAGACCUUGAACAUGCUGAGAAGCUUCGCCAAGUUAAAGCAGUUAUUGAAGAGGUUCUUUAGUACUUUCUCUUUUUUUGUUGAAUAUAGUCCGGGGAAAGUAUUACAUAGUAUCAUUUAGUAAUACUAUCUUAUAUCAUUUUUUUUUGUUGAAUAUACUAUCUGAUAAGUAAGCUAGCAUUAUGCAUUUUUUAUUUAAUUCAUGAGGUCAUUUUCAAAGCAGUCAAAAAAUCUAGAAAAUUAAUAAUCGAACCAGCUACCUUUUUUUAUUAGACCGGAUAUUAGUUCCACCAAUAAUCGUGGUCAACUUACCAACGUGGUGCAUAUAUGUCAAAUUGACAAAUCUACGUUUAAGUAACCCAACCUGUAAGGGAUUUAGAUUUUUUUUGUGAAUCUCGUGGACUGAUCUAUCGCAGAUUGGGGUUCAUAGGUGAAGUUUCAAGAAAUUGUUAUAAUUUGAUUGGUCGAUUGUUCUUAAUUUUUAUUUAUUUAAUUUAGAUUUAAAAUUUUAAGAUAAGUCUAAAAUCAUUUAACAUCACUUGUCAUAUAAUCUAACGAAUAUUACAAAUAACAAUUUAUGGAAACUAAUUUUCGAAAUUAUGGAAAGAUUAUUAAUGUUUUGUUUAUUACUUUUAAUAUUUAUAAACUAUAAAAUACAAUGAACGGAAUUUUAUAGAAGAUAAUUAUAAUAGUUUUAUACUCAACUUGAUGAAUUGUGUUCGAAUAUAUUUAUAUAAUAACUAUUUUAAGUAUUACAAAAUCCAAAAAUAUUUAUUAAUAUUAUUUUUAAAUUAUUUAUCGUAGUUUAAAGAAUAAAUUUAUCAUAAUUUUAAAAUAAUUUAUAAAAUGCUUACAAAAUGCAAGGCAAAGUUGCACUUUCAAGAGUUAAGUCGAGAUCUUGAUUAAAAAUCCUAAUAACUGGUAAAGAAGGGAAGCCGCAGACAAAAAUAUUGAAUGUUGUCUACAAAGAAGUUUUUCAGAAUAUUUCGUAGUCACAGUACGUAAUUUUAAUCUACUUUUUUUUUCAAAUACAAAUUUUAAAAUAAAUAAACUGUUGCGAUUAUUUAUUUUUUAUAUUUGCUAGAUGGGUUGUGAUGAGUUAGGAGACCGAUGACGGUACGGACCGAGAAAGAACACAGGGUGCGGACCGGUCAUGUUUUUAUGCCCGCACAGGAUGCGGACCGGUUACCUAGUUAUAUAUAAAUUAUGAUAUACACAUACAAUAGAAAGUGGAAUAGUUAGGAAAUUGUACAUUGUAUAUAAAUUAUUCAAAACUUCAUUCUGUUUGUGUAGUGGUUAAAUGUUUUGGAGCUCCUAUUUGUUUGAUUGAGAGUAGCUAUGAUUCUUUUCUCCACUGUAAAUUUGCUGAAUAGGCCAUUGCUAUCACGCACAGCUGCAACAACACAAUCUAAUAGUAGAGCUAUCAAAGUUUUAUUUUCUUGAGGACUCCAUUGAACAUAUGCCUAUUCCACGUUCGUGUGGUUUUUGUUGUGAUUUUUUUCUUGUUUUUAGUUUGGAGUUAUACGUGUUUGUCCUUGUGUAAUUUUUCUUAAUAUGUAGUAGAGAUUAUAUACAAAUUAUGAUGGACACAUACAAUAGAUAGUGAAAAAUAUUAGUUAGAGAAUUGUACAAAUUGGAUAAUCGGAAAAUUUAAAAAUUUAAAAAUAGAAAACUUUCAAAGGGAUCAAGCAAAAAUGUAUAAUGUACAUAGUGGUGGUUUUACGUCAAAUAUGUUUAUGUUCAAUUUUCUUUUUUUUUAUGUGUUUCCUUUUUGCAUGUAUACAUCUUUUAGUUCAUGUAUACAAGCAUCUCAUAUCUUUGUUAAAUAAAUAGAGGAACAUGUUCAAUACGUAUGACCUGGAGCAAAAAGGAUACUGGGAAAAUCAAUAAUACAAAGCUAUCAAAAUAUAAGAUUUAACUCAAUAUUUUCUCCUUUGUAUUUUUAACUUAAAAACACUAAUAAAUCCACUCAAUCUAAUUUUAAAUCAAACCUUAAGCAAAUCAUUAUUAUUGAAUAACACAUGAUUUUAAAAUCUUUUUUUUAAAUCAUAAAACCAAUAACAAGAAUUUGAAUAUAUAUUUAAAAAUCUAAGAACCAAUACUAAUGAACUGAAUAUGGAUUUUGAAAUUAUAUAACCAAUAAUACUAUAUUUUAUUUGUAUUUUAAAAUCCAUCUAAAUAUACCAACCAAUAACACCCUCUGACAUUCUCUGUAACAUCCCCCGGCGCAGCCCAUCUGCAAAAUUCCAAAAAGAAGAGAUUCUAGGGUUUUCUUCUCUCACUCGCUAUAAAAAAAGGUGCCCUUUACACUAGAAACACAUAACAAAUACAAAGUGAAGCUCUGCACAAGCCAAGACCCACUGCCAUCACCUCCUCCCAUUACAAGAAAACAUGCGAGAGGAAAUUGUUUUGGCAGGACAAUCUCGUCGGAAAAGAAAAUCCUUGGAUAGUUUCUCGGUAACACCGACGGAUUCCAACCGACCGUUUCCAACGAAUAAAGCUGUGGGAAAUCAUGGUCGAGAACUUGUCGGGAUUUAAUACCAAAUUAAAACCUUGGUUUAAUGUCUUAUAGGUAUCCCCGAACUGAUGAUGGCUCUACAAUCAAAGCAAGUUCUUUACGCCAAGAACUUAUCGCAUACUUCAAAAUAGAAAGUAGAACCAAGUCGAAAUUGCAAGGGGUGGUUUAAGCCAAAUAGUCAUGGCAAACCUAAAAUUGAAAGUAAACCUAUGUCUUUUCUAAACCCAACACACUGAUCUCAAACAUCUCAAUAGCUAGUAUCAUCAACCCGGUAGCAAAAUACACUUAAAAAUGUUUCUUAGUCAGUAGUUAGUACGUACGCUUAGUAUAUGAGAGAAAUAAAUCUGUCUCAUAUCUCCAUAUUAUACAGUGAUUUGUACUCUGAUCCGCUAGGAAGAAUGAAAUGAGAGGACAACUCACACUCUUU